GAUCAAACUCGGGUCGUUGCACUUGCAAGGCAGGCAACAGAACCAUUGAGCUAAAUCCCCAGCCCUGGGGUACCCUCUAAGAGGAAGCAAACUCAAUGUGGAGGAAAACUUCCCUAGUUGGGCCAGGAGGAUCCCACAGAGUGUGAGAAAGCAGUAAGCUUCUGUACAAAACUCUCCAGUCUCAGGAGGUUGGCCGCCAGGAGUGAGAGUUGACAGAAAUGAAAGAAAUGCAGGUUUACAGGGGAGAUGUUUAAAAAGAGAGAGACAAGUACAAAGAUGAGCAUAUAAAACAAGUAGAGUUAAAGAGAGAGAUGUGGGAGAAUGUGAAACUCCUAAAAUGAAAAAUGUUAUUCAAGAUCUGAAAUUUAAUAUAGUUGAAUAGAGAAUUAAUGAGCCAGAAGUUAUUUAUAAAGAAUGAAGGAAAGAGGGGUAAAAAGUUGGAUAAUAUAAAGAAUGAUUCAGAGAGAUAAAGAAUAGAAUGAGAAGAUCAUAUAUAUAUUUGUGUUCCAGAAGAAGAAAAUAAAGGAAAUGGAAAAUAGGCAACAUUCGAAGAUAAAAUGGCAUUAGCUUUUCUAGGAGUGAAGAAAAACAGAUCUAUAGGACCAGGAAGCACAAAGUGUCUCUGGCAUAAUAUAUAAAAAUAAAUUCAUGCUUAUACACAUUUUAUGGAAACUACAGAGUGCCAAAGGCAGAGGAAGAUGAUGAAAGCCAUCACUGAGAAAGGACAGAUUGUCUCCAGGGGGAUGACAAAAUGUGAGCCAACUUCUCCAAAACCAUGACAGAGACUAAGUCUGGAAUUACAUCUUUAAAGUGAAGAACAAAUAAAGAUGCCUCUGAUGUCUGAUUUUGGCUGCUUGUGAUGGGCAAACUUCCCGCUGCCAAAGGACCAGUCUUUCUACAUUCUACACCAGGGCCCUCUCCAGUAACGGAGGAAAGCCUAGAAUGGGGAGGCGACGGCUGGGGGAGAAGUGCUCCUGAUCUUCGUGAAGACAAUGCCAGAGCUCGCAGAGGUCCAGAGGAACCCAGCCCACUGCCAAAGCAGCGACCUUGACAAUGCCCUUGUGUUGGGGUUUCCACUGCCCACCUCAGCUGGCUUCCCAACAGAACCCUGGUGCUAGCAUCACCUUCUACUUACACUGCUUCUACCC
rnacentral:lncRNA from 1 species